rnacentral:misc_RNA from 1 species
AAGAAACUGACGAAUUCAAGUUCUUUUUCGGUUUGUUUGUGGAACACCGAGAACUGAGGGAUUUUUAUGAGAAAAACCAGGAAACUGGGGACUUUUAUUGCUUAGUUUGUGGAGGGAUGGGAGUGAAAGUAGGGAAAAUGUUUAAGGGUUGUUUGGGCCUUGUUCAGCAUGCCAUAGCAAUUCUGAGAACAAAGAGAAAAAGGGCCCAUAGGGCUCUUGGUCAGGUUAUUUGCAGGGUUCUUGGAUGGGAUUUUGGUAGACUUCCU